rnacentral:lncRNA from 1 species
CCAAAAGCUUAAACCAUUAUGUUUAUUCCAAUUUUAUAUAUCAAUCAUUAUACGAGAUUAUUGAAUUUUAUAAACUGAACCAAAUAUAGUAAUAUUAUAAAUAUUACAAUUCAGUAUUAUAUUACUGUAUUAAACCAAACGCGCUGAUGCAACAUCAAUAGUAAUCUCAUUUAGAAAUCCAAGACAUCUGGAUAUAUCGAAAUACUCUGUAAUAUUACAUAACUUGAACUAAAUGCACCCUACAGUGAGCCAAUACCGACCUUCCAUAGCGCAAGUGACAAAAAAACUGGUAGUUGGUAUCCGAGAUUCUAAGCUCAAUACCUAGUUGCUUUAUAUUUUCAACUAAAUUUAUUUCUAAGAAAAAGAAUAAAGCAGGUAGCACGCUACUUUUUACUCUAAAGAAAAAAAUGCCAAUCGGCCAUAAUCUAAAA